GACGAACGCUGGCGGCGUGCUUAACACAUGCAAGUCGAACGGAAAGGCCCUGCUUUUGUGGGGUGCUCGAGUGGCGAACGGGUGAGUAACACGUGAGUAACCUGCCCUUGACUUUGGGAUAACUUCAGGAAACUGGGGCUAAUACCGGAUAGGAGCUCCUGCUGCAUGGUGGGGGUUGGAAAGUUUCGGCGGUUGGGGAUGGACUCGCGGCUUAUCAGCUUGUUGGUGGGGUAGUGGCUUACCAAGGCUUUGACGGGUAGCCGGCCUGAGAGGGUGACCGGCCACAUUAGGACUGAGAUACGGCCCAGACGCCUACGGGAGGCAGCAGUGGGGAAUAUUGCACAAUGGGCGGAAGCCUGAUGCAGCAACGCCGCGUGCGGGAUGACGGCCUUCGGGUUGUAAACCGCUUUCGCCUGUGACGAAGCGUGAGUGACGGUAAUGGGUAAAGAAGCACCGGCUAACUACGUG
rnacentral:rRNA from 1 species